ensembl:snoRNA
AAGCAACACUCUGUGGCAGAUGAACAAAACUAUCUGACACAAUUUGAGCUUGCUUUAGAAAGAAAAUCAAACCUAUUCUGGUAUUUUCUUUCCCAAGAGAGACACAUUAUAUAGGCUCAAACAAU